rnacentral:snoRNA from 1 species
UGAUGGUGAUGAGGACAACUUCUGAGCAUACCCUUGAAUCUCUCCAAGCUUGGUAGAGAUUUUCUCCAUCUUUCUGUCUGAAACUCAAUAUCCCACUCCUCAAUCG